CCUACGGGUGGCAGCAGUGAGGAAUAUUGGUCAAUGGGCGUAAGCCUGAACCAGCCAAGUCGCGUGAGGGAUGAAGGUUCUAUGGAUCGUAAACCUCUUUUAUAAGGGAAUAAAGUGUGGGACGUGUCCUGUUUUGUAUGUACCUUAUGAAUAAGGAUCGGCUAACUCCGUGCCAGCAGCCGCGGUAAUACGGAGGAUCCGAGCGUUAUCCGGAUUUAUUGGGUUUAAAGGGUGCGUAGGCGGCCUUUUAAGUCAGCGGUGAAAGUCUGUGGCUCAACCAAAAAAUUGCCGUUGAAACUGGGAGGCUUGAGUAUGUUUAGGGCAGGCGGAAUGCGUGGUGUAGCGGUGAAAUGCUUAGAUAUCACGCAGAACCCCGAUUGCGAAGGCAGCCUGCCAAGCCAUGACUGACGCUGAUGCACGAAAGCGUGGGGAUCAAACAGGAUUAGAUACCCCUGUAGUC
rnacentral:rRNA from 1 species